CAGUUAAUGUGUGGUCAGGCUCCAGAUCUAGAACGUUUUGAUAUUGCCCUCUUACCAGACAAGUGUGUGCAGGAGAGGCUUCAGCAGAUUAAAGAUUGCAAAACUGAGGAGUCAUGGAAAAAUCUGCAGGACAGUCUGGGGGACUGGAUUGCCGAUUGUGGUGUGCCAGGGAACUGCAAACAUGGUGGAGCAGUUUAAACAGGGCAUCAACUCCUGUGGCAAAUUUUGGGAGACUGUGGAGAGGCACUGGAAAUCAUUUCAGUGCCUCUUUACACAUACAGAAGGACCAAUGACGAGAGCUGGUUUUCGGUGCCUUUUUGACAUCAUUUGGAGUGAUGAGGGGUCGAACAAGAAGGUAGCUGAAGAGGACACCAUGUUUGCUUGGGAAUGUCUUCUCAACAGUGUGCAGGAAAAAGAAACUCCUUUCACCUUUGAGGACUUACUGGUGUUUGUCACAGGAGC